CAUGAACUUUUUUUCACGCUAUAAAGCUAACAAAUGAUUCCUAUUUCUAGAUACAUAAAAGAAAAAAUAUGGUUAAAGUUUAUAUGUUUAUUUAUACUAUGAUUUUCUUCUUUUCCAUAUUUAUUUCUAUAGCAAAUACCCGUAAGUAAUUUUUAUCAUCGCUUUUACAUUUGCUUUCAAACUUUAGUUUGAUAUAGUAUACAGGUAUUUCUAUACAAAAUUUAAUAUCAUGUUUUUAUAUUAAUUUAUAGGGUUAAAUAAAUAUUUUAUCCCUAUAA
rnacentral:lncRNA from 1 species